UGAGACCAGGGGAGGCGUCAAGUGUGCCAAUAUGGCAGCCCCCACGUGAAGGCGGAUGCAGGGGUGGAGCGGGUGGCACCUGCGGGGAAUGAGCCCGCCGUGCCGAGUGCCCCCGCCCCACGCCUCUCUUGAUAACGUCACGACUGCCUCACAGCACGGCAGAAACGCGCGGGCCACCGACCCCCAAGCGCGGCGCCCUCGUCCUCGCUGAAUAUGGGGCGGGAAUGUUCCUGAGACACCCCAAAUUCGGCAGCCCUGGCUUUGGAAGAUAACUGGGAGGAGUCCAAGAGGGAUCCAGUAUCUAGGCCCCAAAGAUACUUUCUGAAGCCCUAGUUUUGUUCUGUUACCCUACUGAUGAGCCUCGACCCCGGUGAGCAGUCCCUCCCUGGGAGCUGGAACCGGGCCGGGCUCCCUGGUCUGAACCCUCCAGGCUGCUCAAGAAGGCAGCAGGGUUGAAAACCGCAUGCAGGCGCCAUCCUGGGGGCCCUCCUUCGGUGCAAAGCUCGUGGGCAUUUCUCGUGACUCACUCCUGGUGGCUAGCGACAUUUCAGCAUGUGCAAGACUAGAACCAGGCGCGGCCCCGCAGAUCAGGUGGGGGCGGACCAUGAGGAUCCCCUUUCACAGAAAGCAGCGGCGGACCGGACACUGCAGGAGAACCCGGCGGGCCUGGCCCCUGGAGGUGGCUGGCAGAUGGUAACUUUCAUUCUGGAGAAAGCAAGUCUCCAAACUCACCAAGGUCAGCUGGAGAGGCUGGUGGGCCUCAGAGCCCAGACAUCUAACCACCCGGCCACCUUGCCCCAUCCCCGCGGGGCAGAGAAGGCUCCGGGGCCUCAGAUGCCACAUAAGGGAGAAGCCCAUGUUUGGGGGGAGGUGGGGGGAGGUGUGCACCGGGAUCACGCCAAAGCCAGCCGGCACAGGCUUCCGGUGUCUUCUUGGCUCUGGAGGAAGGAGGCGAUGAGGGGGCAGUGAGGGAUUCGGCCUGAGCCCCAGGCGCAGACGCAGCAGAGGAACUUGGAUCUAAUGCUGAACGUCUCUGUGCUCACAUUUUGAAAAAUAAAUACUGUGUUCACCCAAAGCCCUCACUGUGGCCUUCUCCACCAGGCUCUUCAAACCUGAGUGGGGGGGAGGGGGCGCUGCGACUCAUAAGAUGGGUCAGGAAGUCAAUCUGGUGGCUCACAAGUAGCGUUUUCUUCCUAACGAGUAGAACAGACUGGAACAUAACGACACAGAAGAUGCCAGAUUGCGCAGUCCAGAGCGGGGGCUGUCCCGUGAAGAGACUUUUCUGUCACGCACAUGUACACAGAGCACGGGUACAUGGGGCGGGGUCAUGCCUUGUGACACACUGUGUGAAUGUCCUUGCUCUGUCAAGAGCGGCUUCGGGGGCCACAGAGGAUGCGACUGAGCCAGCUGCACGUGGCCGGCCAGGCGUUCCCUGGUGUGGACCGAUGCCUCGGGAGUCAAACCUGGAGGCACCCGGGGGUGAACCCCUGGAAACAGGCAGGACCCCUGGGGAGGGCUCUGGGGUCCCCUGAGGCAGAUCUGACUGAUUUUAGCCCAAAGUAAGACACGGCACAAGCCCAGCCAAUGCUGGGGUGCAGCCGGUCAUUCCAUUCAGUCUAAACAACGUUCUCCCAGGGCAGUCACGUGCCUGUCUUAUACGCGGGGAAACCGAGGCCCAGCGUUGAGAGGCGUGGCAAUCCACAGCAGUGGGACUGGAGAGCACCCUCUCGGCUGACCCAGGCCACUCUCGUCUCCUCGGAGCCAUGACGAAUCUCUGGAAAAGCAGGCUUCCCGAGGAUGCCUUGAACCUCACGAUGUGCUUUCCGGGAACGCAGUAACUAGGGACCCACGCUCUUUAUUGUGCCCGAAACACGGAGCAGGGAGACACCUGUGAAACUUGUCUGGAGAUGACCCGGAAGGGUGUUGGCCACGUCGGUCCCGCACGCCCCGCGGCCACCUGUGACCAGGCAGCGCUAGAGCCUUCUGGAUCGAGACUCCCAGAUUGAAGGUGAGCUUCUCCGCAAGGCCACAGAUAAGAAGCGCAUCUUUCAAAGAGGACCACACAGGGCCCUGUUCAGAAAUAAAGAAGAGAAUCCGCGAGCACUUCACAAGGAAGAGAACAGAAACUAUUCGGCGUAAGGUCAGAAAAUCACUGCGGUUUGGUCCAGGGUCUGACCUUUCUC